rnacentral:rRNA from 1 species
GACGAACGCUGGCGGCGUGCUUAACACAUGCAAGUCGAACGGACAGGCCCUGAUUUUGCGCCGUGCUCGAGUGGCGCGCGGGGGAGUGACACGCGUGUAACCUCCCCCUAACUUUGGGAUAACUUCAGGAAACUCGGGCUAAUACCGCGUAGGAGAUCCUGCAGCAUGGUGGGGGUUGGAGAGUGUCGGCUGUUGUGGAUGGACUCGCGGGUUAUCAGCUUCUUGGUGGGGUAGUGGCUUACCAGGGCUUUGACGGGUAGCCGGCCUUGGCGGGUGGCCGGCGACAUUGGGCCUGCGAGAGGGACCAGAAGCGUACGGGCCGCAGCAGGGGGGAGUAUUGCACAAUGGGCGGAAGCCUGAUGCAGCAACGCCGCGUGCGGGAUGACGGGCUACUGGUUGUAAACAGCUUUGUCCUGUGCUGAAGCGGGCGUGACGGUAAUUGGUAAGAAAGCACCGGCUAACUACGUG